GGAAGUAUCUUGGCACAAGAUUUACUGCUGUUGCCGUCUUUGGAGAUAUCUGUGCAAGUUGAACUAACAGAGGUUAGCUUGGUUUCAGCUAACUCAAGUUGCUCCCCGCCGUCGACUGAUCUAGGCGGUGAAGGCGGUGCACCUUUGGUUUGGUACACUCGAUUAGUGUGUAAUGCGGUGGUGUGUUGUUUACUUCCGCAUUCAUUGCAACUGAUACUCGCGUUGCAAUCACGACUUCUGUGCAUAGUCGAAUCACAGCAUUUGUAACAAAG
rnacentral:lncRNA from 1 species